rnacentral:lncRNA from 1 species
GGGAGAGGAGAGAUGUUAGGGGGCUUUUACACGCAGGUGGGCAGAGUAACGUCCGUGGUCGGGUCUCUGCUACUCGGUUCUCUGCGUUCCAUUGUCGACGAUGUGUCGGGCAUAAAGGAGGCGGACAACGUGUUGGCAACGGGCUGAUCUAUGUAGUCGCAUUGUCGAGCUCUUUUGCACGGUUAUCUCUAGAAAUCCCUGAAAAGAAGAAAAA